GGCGCUGUAGUGUAGCGCCAACACACGAGGCUACACAUAGACCUCUCUCGAUUUCUGUCGUCCUCGAAACCCAGGUUCAAGUCCUGGCAGCGCCU